rnacentral:rRNA from 1 species
UACAGAGGUGGCAAGCGUUGUUCGGAAUUACUGGGCGUAAAGGGCGCGUAGGUGGCCUUCUUAGUCAGACGUGAAAUCCCCAGGCUUAACCUGGGAACUGCGUCUGAUACUGGAAGGCUCGAGUUCGGGAGAGGUGAGUGGAACUGCGAGUGUAGAGGUGAAAUUCGUAGAUAUUGGGAAGAACACCGAUGGCGAAGGCAGCCAUCUGGACCGACACUGACGCUGAGGCGCGAAAGCGUGGGGAGCAAACAGG